ensembl:misc_RNA Metazoa_SRP Metazoan signal recognition particle RNA
GCUGGGUGUGAUGGCUCAUGCCUGUAAUCCUAGCAUUUUGAGAGGCUGAGGUGGGAGGAUCCCUUGAGCCCAGGAGUUCCAGGUUGCAGUGAGCUAUGAUUGUGCCACUGCAUCCUGCCCUGGGCAACAGAGUGAGACCCUGUUUCGA